GUUAUACAAUGUUUAGGGGCAUCCCUGGCUUCUAGCCCUGAAAUGCCAGUAGCAGCUUCACCACCACAACCAAACAUGACAACCAGAAAUGUCUCUUAACAUUGCCAAAUGUCUCUUGAUGGGCAGGAUCCCUCCUUUGAGAGUCACUGUGCUCUAGUACAACAUCUAUCCAACAAAGGAGCUUGGAGAGGCAAAUGGCUCAAUGUGUCCUUUGCAUCCCUUGUUAAAUUUCAGAGCCUUCAGUGUUAGCUAGAACCAAUAGAAAAAUAAUGUGAACUUAUCUGUGGGUAUUGGUCUGGAUUUUGGGUAUGGACCCCUCAGAACUGGCAAUCAAAGACCACCAAAAAAUAAGAAAUAAAUGCCUCAACAUUUGAGUACCUCUUAAAAUUCUUCAGUCUUAAUAUAAAUGUACUUUUGCAUUAGAACGUUCGUUUUCAUAUUCUUUGCCAUUUAGAGCCCUUAAUAGAUCAUAUUCUGGUUUUCAAGUCUCUCCUGAAAGGAAAGGGACAUUUUAAACCCACUUAGAAGGACUAUUUGAAUUCUGAACUUCAAGCCUACAGGGAUUACAUUUUCUUACUGUUUGAUGGGAGAGAUCUCUUCUGGAGGUUCUUUAGAAGAUUGGGAUAUAGCUGUUCAGAAAACUGAAACCCGAUUAGCUCGUGUCAAUGAGCAGAGAAUGAAGGCUGCAGAGAAGGAAGCAGCCCUUGUGCAGCAAGAAGAAGAAAAGGCUGAACAACGGAAAAGAGCUCGGGCCGAGAAGAAAGCGUUAA
rnacentral:sRNA from 1 species